rnacentral:rRNA from 1 species
UCAUGGACAACUUUCAACGGUGGAUCUCUUGGCUCGUGGAUCGAUGAAGAACGCAGCAAAACGCGAUAUGUAGUGUGAAUUGCAGAAUUCAGUGAAUCAUCGAAUCUUUGAACGCAAAUGGGCGCUCCUGGGUAUUCCCAGGAGCAUGUCUGUCUCAGU